rnacentral:rRNA from 1 species
GAUGAACGCUGGCGGCGUGCUUAACACAUGCAAGUCGAACGGAACUACUCUGAUGAGAUUCUUCGGAAAGGAUUUGGUUUAGUUUAGUGGCGGACGGGUGAGUAACGCGUGGGUAACCUGCCUCAUACAGGGGGGAUAACAGUUGGAAACGACUGUUAAUACCGCAUAAGCGCACGGAACCGCAUGGUUUUGUGUGAAAAACUCCGGUGGUAUGAGAUGGACCCGCGUCUGAUUAGCUGGUUGGUGAGGUAACGGCCCACCAAGGCGACGAUCAGUAGCCGGCCUGAGAGGGUGAACGGCCACAUUGGGACUGAGACACGGCCCAAACUCCUACGGGAGGCAGCAGUGGGGAAUAUUGGCACAAUGGGGGAAACCCUGAUGCAGCGACGCCGCGUGAGUGAAGAAGUAUCUCGGUAUGUAAAGCUCUAUCAGCAAGGAGAAAAAAUGACGGUACCUGACUAAGAA